GACGAACGCUGGCGGCGUGCUUAACACAUGCAAGUCGAACGGUAAGGCCCUUCGGGGUACACGAGUGGCGAACGGGUGAGUAACACGUGGGUGAUCUGCCCUGCACUUCGGGAUAAGCCUGGGAAACUGGGUCUAAUACCGGAUAGGACCACUGCCUGCAUGGGUGGUGGUGGAAAGCUUUUGCGGUGUGGGAUGGGCCCGCGGCCUAUCAGCUUGUUGGUGGGGUGGUGGCCUACCAAGGCGACGACGGGUAGCCGGCCUGAGAGGGUGACCGGCCACACUGGGACUGACGUACGGCCCAGACUCCUACGGGAGGCAGCAGUGGGGAAUAUUGCACAAUGGGCGCGAGCCUGAUGCAGCGACGCCGCGUGAGGGAUGACGGCCUUCGGGUUGUAAACCUCUUUCAGCACCGACGAAGCGCAAGUGACGGUAGGUGCAGAAGAAGGACCGGCCAACUACGUGCCAGCAGCCGCAGUAA
rnacentral:rRNA from 1 species